rnacentral:lncRNA from 1 species
CGAGGCUGAAUAAAAUACCGUUGCUGUCUCCAACUGAAAGUAUAUGCAUCCGGUCUGACUAAAAAGGAGUGACGAAAAGGAAAUAUUUACAAUCACCAUGCAUCAGGAAAUGACCGGCUUCAAUAUAUUCCUGGAUUAGAGCUGACAACUUUCCAGAGCAGGCAGUGACUGUGUGUAAUAAGUGUCAUGGGAUGGAAUGGUGAUGAUUAUUACGACAAAUGGGAUUCUUUUGGAGGUCAAAGCCCAGCUAUGUACUACCUAAACUACGUUCUACUUAUAAGCUGCCUCGUCAUCCUCACGUGUGCCUUAUAUUUCGUAUUUCGAGAGUGUUGCCAGAGCAACCAGAGUGAUGACGAAACGGAAGCAAUCAUUAUGAUGCAGCCGACAGCACAGGUCCCAAGCUACACAGAGCUGCCAUACGAUAGGGACCAGUCUCAUAACCACCGUAUCGUGCAUGAGUAUAACCGCGAGUCGCAGGUUCCCUUGUCAACAGGCUCACAAGUGGCUCCACACCACUACUACGCAUACGAUCAUAAACAUCUUGCACACUACUACAUGUAUCCGACCCCUUGCAACAUAGCGGGAAGCCCGAGUGCAUCUGCGACUGCGUCUGCGCCUGCGACUGCGCGUUUUGUGCAACGUAACUAUUGUGACUUCCAGCCACCACGCGAAGACGAUCGACCACCUCCGUACGCUCCAAACCACUAACGGGGUAGAUGGGUGCAUGAUUGGGAAAUGAAAGGGACCGAGCGUUUGUAAAGUACAAUCAGUGAAUCUAAUGGAGAUUUGAUUUCGCUUAAGACAUCUUUGAUUUUUCUAAAAGGCUUAUUAUCGACAGACAUGCAGGCUAAUAUACGGUAGCCUGUGGCUAACAAUUCAAACUGCUUUUUAUGCGCUACAAUAUUCCCUCAGAAAAUCAAGACAGAAGCUGUGUCAUGCUAAAAGGUCAAUGAUAUAUAAUUAGUAAAAUGUUGCUAUAAUUUUCAAAACACGGUAGUUCAGAUUAAGGGCAAAGCAAUAGGUUUGUGAUGAGUUGAAUGUAAAGUAGCUAAUUCCUUUCGACAUCCUUUAGAUUUUGGGUGCUGCUGUAUGAGUUGUUGAUAGGGCCUACCAAAAAACCGACGACAAAACAUGAAAUGGCAUUGUCGUUUAAAAGUGGAAAUUCUAUUAUCACCAUGUAGUGAACUUUUUAAUAAUAAUAACAUUUGACAUUUAAUAACAUUUGACAUUUAAGAAAAUAGUGUAGGUUUUCCCGGUAACUUUAAAAUUUGUAUCCUUAAAAUUCCAGAAUGUGAAUAGAUACUUUGUUGGGCUGCAUUGUUAAAUCCGAUUUCAAAUUUACACCAAUAGAUUUCAUAUUUGGUCAAGUGUAAUUGUCAAAUGCAGCAUUCUGCGGACUCGUCCAACUUUCGAGAAAUUCGUCUCAUGUUGAGACUGGCGUUGAAUUGAAAAAUCGAGUUCGCUUUUAUUGGUCAUUCAUAUAUUCAGUAACUUUCCAUGGAAUUUAAUGUUAAUUUUUGAGUGUACAUCACUACCUGUGUGAUUUUAGCUUUGGCACAAAAUUCUUGGCUCAUAAUUAGCUAUGGUACUUAGUAACUUGCAUCGUCACGCUAUGAAUAAUUUUCUUGGACACAAAUUUCGUUUCAAAUCUACCAAUUUUGUUUCAAAAUCCACAAUAUCCGCAGGUCGUGUACAUUCCAAAG